AGAAUUUUGUGUUUAACUAGAAUUGUGGUUAACUUUGGAUUUCCCAUUUUCCUCCUUUCUCUUUUAAGUUGUAGCUUAAUAUGCUUAAACCAAAUGACACCUUCCUUUGCUACCAUUCAAUACUUUCCAUAAAGCCCUUACAGAAUUAAUCACUCCCUCCUGUUUUCCCAAAGCACUUUGAUUUCACUACUAUAAUAAGCUCUUUUCACUUUAUAUUAUAAUUAGUUAUGCAUGUGUCUGCAUCCCAUACAAAAGUGUUGGCUGUUUUGUGUCUUUGUUUCUUCAGCCUCUAAUACAAUGCCUGUGACAUUGUAUUGUACUGAUUUAGUUUGAGAUGCUCAGACUUCAAAUUUAGACAGAAUUUACCAGAGUAUCCUGAACAUAUCAUGAGAAAACAACAUCUGGAACGUGAAUUCUGUGCUUUCCUUCCUUUUAAUGACUCUGAGCACAAAGCAGAUGGAAUCAACUGUUAAUAUGUUGCCCAAUGUGAUGAAUGGCCUCAGCUGUGUCCAUGGCUCCGUAAUCUUCAGGCUGCUUCCCUGAAUGUCUUGAAUGUGUUAGGUGCUUAACAAAUAUUUGUGUGUUAAACGAGUUAAUAAAAACA
rnacentral:lncRNA from 1 species